rnacentral:rRNA from 1 species
AUACGUAGGUCCCGAACGUUGCGCGAAAUUACUGGGCGUAAAGGGUCCGUAGGCGGUCUGGUAAGUGGAAGGUGAAAGCCUGGGGCUCAACUCCAGAAUUGCCUUCCAAACUGCCGGACUUGAGGCAGGGAGAGGUCGGCGGAAUUCCCGGUGUAGUGGUGAAAUGCGUAGAUAUCGGGAGGAAAACCAGUGGCGAAGGCGGCCGACUGGAACUGUCCUGAAGCUGAGGGACGAAAGCCAGGGGAGCGAACCGGAUUAGAAACCCUAGUAGUCC